ensembl:lncRNA
CAACAGUUCAGAUGAAAAUAUCCCAUUCCUAACUCCUUCCCUGACAUUGCCCAAGUGGCAGGAAGAAUUAUUUGAGAUGAAUUCCUUGGUUUUUAAAUUGAUUUUGUGUCCCGUAGGUUUCCUCCGUAAAGUGGGGAUAAUCCGCAUGAGGAUGCAAAAAUGUAACAGUUAAUGCCGGCAGUAAGCUCUGAAGAUAAGUACCUUAAAGAGAGUGGAGGAAUUGGCAUCUAACACAAUUCAAAAGGGUCAGGCCCUUGUGGGGAGCUGGAGGUCAACACCAGGCUGCAGCAUGCUGCCACAUGCAGUCUCUCGCCAGGUGACCUGGAGAACAUGCUGCUUGCUUUUCUGCCUCAUCAGACGAAAUGGAUAAUUCCCCUGCCCCGAGUUCCCUUCUUUGGAUUUACUUCUGAGGCUUGUUCAUCCAUGCUAAGACUAGGCUUACCAAGAGCACAGAUCAACGAGACCAAUAUGGUACUCAUCCCUUCCUUUGAUGGGCCCAUACAAAUUAAUGUGCUUGCACAAGACGGGGCCCUGGGACAGCUGUCUCCUGUAGGCAACGGAUGCUAUUCCCAGCAGGAGUGCUAG